rnacentral:lncRNA from 1 species
GCCCAGGGCACUUAGACUUUUAGGGACCUUUCAUUGGAUUAGCAAUAAACCAUAAACGAGUUAGUAUAAUCUCAAUUAAAUUAAUACUUCCUCUAUUCAGUUUACCACUGACAUCUAUGUGAUCUAAUCUAAAUCUACUAUGGUAGUAAUAUAAUAAUUAUUAAUAAACUAAUAAUAACAUUGGCUCAUAGGACCUAGAGGCAUGAGUAGGGGUAUGAACAGAUGUUUUCCUUUGCCUUCAGAAUUGCACAGGUGUCCAACAACAUUGUAAAGAUACAAGAAGGGGCCAGUUUAAGGACAAGUGCCCUGGGGUGACCAAUAAAUAGCUCUGCUUGCAUAAAUAUUUUGCUGUUUUGUAGUUUUUUUAAAAAAAUCAGUAAUUGAAAUUAGGUCUCGUGGAAAAUUGUGCAUCUUUUUUCUCCAGACUUUCUUAGAAAGACUCAAGUGUUUUCAGUGCUCUCCCCAAAGCCAGAUUUUGAGCUCUCUCUUUUGAGUUGCUGCCUCACUACUCCCUUACCUAAUGUUUCUGAUAAGAACAGUGGAAUAUUGUAUUAGGAUUCUUUUGUAGUCCUUUUGAAGCUCUUUAAUAAAAAUUUCUUUUAAAAAGUAUUCCAUUUUCAGUACACAUAACAAGAUGAAGUAUUCAGUAUUUCAUAAAGUACUUUAUGAUUUGCAAAGAACAUUCAUGGCCAUUGCCUCAUUUAAAUACUUAAAGCAAAUUUGUCAGAUAGACAAAGCAGGUCACCCCAUAAGACAGAUGAAGCUGAAACCACAGGUGGUAAAUGACCCAGGUCUUCUGACUCCUAAUCUAGUACUCUUUCCUUACUUCAACUUGCUCCUUGACCAAAUGUCAAUGAAAGGGUUCCAUUUAAAUAUGAAUUCUUGGGUUUUCGUAUUUGAUAUUAACCAUGUGAAACUUUGUAGGUCAUUAGAACUUUCAGGGCUAAUCAGGGGGACAGUCAGUAAUUGAUAACAGUCUACCUCCGGUAAUUGACUUUACUUUCUCUUCCUGUGUAUGUUCUGGGUCUCACAAGUACAAGAUCAAGUGUAAAUGAAGUAAGGGGAGGCUUUGUCACUAAACAAACACUUAACUGAUUGCUGCUGGAUGAUAAGCAUAUGAUAAGUGGCAGCUUCAAAGAACAUUUCAACACGAUAUGAAAGGAGAUUCUUGAUUCAAGAUUAGAAGAUUUUGGAGUUCCCUGGUGGCUCAGUGGAUUAAGGAUCCAGCAUUAUCACUGCUGUGGCUUGGGUCACUGACAAGGCACAGGUUUGCUCUCUGGCCUGGGAACUUCCCCAUGUUGUGGGAGUGGCCAAAAAAAAAAAAGGUUGUAGGAUUUAAACACCUUCAUUAAUGGGAACUUCGUGGGACUACACACACUUGAGGUCACUUCUUCCUAGGACUUUGGUGCUCUGAUGUUCAUGUGUCAUCCCACAAGAGCAGUGUUAGCUCCAUAUAUUCCAUGUAUGCAACCGUGUUGCCCAAAGUUGUGAACUCUAACACCAUUGUGUUUAUUUUUAUGAGAAUUAGGUCAAGAUUAGCCUAAGCAGAGGCAACAAAUAACUUCAGAUCACAAGCGAAAUGGGAAAUGAAAUGUGUUUUAUACUGAAUCUUUACAGAUGGAUUUUGCAAAGAACAGUUCAUUAACUGUAUGCCCAACUGGGAAUACAUUUUUAAUGAUUUGCAGGUAGUCUAGAGAAAAGCUAAAUUAAAAAAUUGCAGCCCCAACUGCUCCUCUAAAAUGGGCUAAGAACUAUAGCUAUGAAUUAAAAUAACUUGUGAAUUUUUCUAACCAAAAUAAAAAUACCAGUUAUGAAAUAUUUCUUUUACUCAUUGCCAAUUCUUUAAUAGUCCAUUAGGUAUUUCUAGGAGGUGGAGCAGUUGAAAUGAAAAUUGGAGCUCAGAAAUCUGAAAAGCCAAAAUUUUGGAUAAACUGGCUGAGGAGAGAUAGAACUGGGUUGAAAGGAGGCUUUUUCUGUGGUAGAUUUGCCUUCAAACUGGGCAUAUGUUUCAUUUGGAUAAGUCUUUGAAAGUUCCAGGAAUCACUGAAAAAAAGAGACUUGAAGGAACUUAGAACUAGUUUAAUUCUACUGCAGCCUAAGAGUAGGCCACUUAAUGGGGAAGGCAUUCAGUUGCUUCUAUAUGACUUAGCUAACUCCACUGUCCUUUGCAGAUUAAAAGCUGAGCAGCUCAACUUGAUUAAAGAAUCUGCUCUUUUAACCCACUCCUCCACUUGAGACCCUUGUUACUUGAAACUGGGUUUCUUAUAUGCUACUUCUCUUUUUCCUAACCCAGAAGUUAUUGAUUGAAUGUGUUGUUCUUUAUGUCAUUGUUUAUAGGGAAAGCUAGUCUUUAUCCUGUUUCAUUUCCACUUCCUAGGCCAACAUUUAAGAACAUUUAAAUCUUUCUGUUGCUUAUGCUGGACAUGCUGGUAAUAACAUGGUAAGUAGUUAUAUGAUGAGUAAUUGUGUGUCCAGCAGUAAAGCUGAAUAUAGUUUUAUUUGUAUAUAUUUUCCUCUAGGUGUUUCAUAGGAGUGAUUUUCAGUUCCCAGGUCCUUUUCAGAACUGGCCUUAAAAAAAAACCUCCAAAAACAAAACAAUACAAAAAUACCAAAAAACCCUUAACUACAAUGAAAGCAGUUCAUUUACAGGGACCCCUUCUUCUAUGACUCCACUUAUAACACAGAUGCUGGCAUGGUAUUUAUACCUACCUAAAAAGAAGAUGCACUCAUAUCUUUUUUGUACCUAGAGAUUUUAUUUUAGGAAAAAGUAAAAAAGAAAUCAAAUUUCCUUGAGGCAAAAAUUGGAAAUCUGACUUUAAUCAGGGUUCUUCAAACUACUAAUUACCUGAAGAAAAAAAUGAGAUAGAAUCAUGGAAUGUUAGUGCUAAACACUAUUUAGUUUGGUCUCUUUACUCAAGAGUCAGAGAAACUUGGGGCCCUAUUGGCCAGCCAGUUCUCUAGUAGGUUAUACAGAUGGGUAGCGGGAAGUCUGUGGGGAUUUCUCUCAAUUCAGAGUGAUUCUGUUGAACCCUGUGUGUUUGGUUGGAUUUGGCUUAGGAAGUGGUGAAAGAAGGGAGGCUAAGGAAAAACAACCCAUGACAGGUUUAUGGCCAGCUCGUUAAAUUAAAUCCUUUGCUUGACACUGUAUUGCUUUCUUUGCUGGGUGUGGAUUGACAGGUAUUGAUGAAAUGCCUUAGGUUCUAAUUCAAAAUGCUGGGUGACAAAAAUUGUAACUUUGACAGGUUGAGGUUAUCAACAAGCCGCAGGGUGAGUGUAGGGACUCCAGGCUGUAGCAGCCAUUAUACUGUCUGUAGCGAGCCUCUGUGCUUUAAUGGGGAUGCACUUGAUCUCUUCACCCCCAAAGAGUAGAUUAAGUGCUUCAGUAAAUAUGCCAUUAAGAUACUUCAUUGUACUAAGCCAUUAAUACACACCUCAGAUAGGCCUUCAGCCACCCAAGAAGCAUUUGAACGGCCUAGAAAAACACCUAAUGCUGUAUCUACUUUGACAUUUCAUUAUUAAAUACAAUUUCAAAAUUUUGGGAAGUAAUUUUUCUACUGCUUUGAAUAAAGUCAGAGUGGGGAAAAUAGCAAAUUCCUUUCCAAUCUACUCUAAAUGACUUCCUCUGCCACCACAUCACUUUGUGGUGGUCCUAACUACAUUAAUUCCUUGACCAUGGGCCUGAGUCAGGCUUAAGGUUUCAGAGUAUCUUUUUAGAACCAGCUAAGCUUCUGUAACAUUUCAUUUUCUUAUUGAAGAAGCUAAAUGAGAAGCAUUUUAGAGAUGUUUGCUAUGGUGUACUAUUUGUGUUUGUUCUCUGCUAUUUUAUUUCUUAUGUUUCUGGACAUAAUUCUUAACAAUAGUAGAAUAACAUGGUAAUAGAAUUAAUUUUAAACCACAUUGGACCCGGGAGAUCAUUUAACUCUUCAUUUUAUUUGUUUUUUAUUUUAUUUUAUUUUGUUUUUUGUUUUUUCUAGGACCGCACCUGUGGCAUAUGGAGGUUCCCAGACUAGGGGUUUAAUCGGAGCUGUAGCCACCGGCCUAUGACAGAGCCACAGUAAUGCAGGAUCUGAGCCACGUCUGCGACCUACACCACGGCUCACGGCAACGCUGAAUCCUUAACCCACUGAGCAAGGCUAGGGAUUGAACCCGAAACCUCAUGGUUCCUAGUUGGAUUUGUUAACCACUGAGCCAUGAUGGGAGCUCCCUAACUCUUUAUUUUAGAGGUGAAGAAAUUGUAGGUAAAAAAUGUGAAGGUACUGUUAUUUGUGUUGCCUUUGUGGUCUUAAAGAAAUUUGGUAGCUACAGCUUAAUUCUUUUCUUAAAACUAUAAACUUAUUUAUCCUCUCUAAUCCCUCGUCAUGAUUUGGUUUUCAUCACCUCUUAGUGAUUGAUAUGACAUUUUGGUUAAGAAAACUUAGGUACAAAAAAAUUAUUUUCACAAAGUCAGAGAUCAAGAUUAGGUAGAGGAAAAACCUGGUGUUGAAUUCUGGGACUUCUGAUAUACCCUGAAAAUUUUGUAAGACAGUCCUUCAAAUGUUUUACGUGGAGUGAUAACAUUGACUUACUAAAUUCAGAUAAUUUUGUAACUCCUUUGUCUUUUUUGGGGGGAAGAGGUGGUUAUGACUGAUUUCAGUGAAAGACUGACAUUAGGCUGAAUUGACAGGCAAUCAUGUAUAUCACGCAUAUCAGUAUAGGAAAAGCGUUGUCCAUGGAAGACUUCUUUGAAAGGGGCCUUGUGGUACCAGUCUCCAAUAGUAUAAGAAGUUGUCUACCUCAGCUCUAGAACCAUGAGAUGAUCUUGUUGUAUCCUAUAGAUUUGUCACUUACUAAGCUGGGAUUUAGUAACUUUUUUUUAUCAUCACUUAUAGCUUAAACAAAACAAAUGCCCCUGCUCUUAGACAAACAAAUCCUUUCUUCCUAAUUAGCUUUCAGGAUAUACUUUACCUGAAGAAUGAGCAGGUAUUAGGUAUUAUUAUUCAGAACAAAAAUAGUUAUGCACCAAGAAAUCAUGAGACUGUAGAUGAUUUUUUACAGUAAACAAAGUGUUACUUUUCAAUUUUAAAAAUAUCAGACAUAAAAACAAACAAAAAAGACUUCUUGUGGUGAUUUUAUUUUCUGAUCAGAUCCCUUUUUAGUGCUCGCAUAAGACCAUGUAUCUUAAUACUACCACUGAAUUUCAUUUCUCUUCAAGCUUAUAAAAUUUCAGGAAUCCGAGACACCAGGAUAGACAGCCACAUCAACCUUUUGAAAACGUUGUAAUACUUAUUUUCCCUGUCUUUUCCACUAUAUCUUAAGUUCUCCCAGGUCAGAGACCAUGUCUCCUUCAUCAUUGUAUCUCUAGUUCCUAGAACAGUGGUGUACUCAGUAUCUUUUGGAUGAAUCUGUGAAUUAAAUUCUGUAAUCCUGUGUACCUUCUGAGUUUCUUCUGGGUAGGAUAAAAUUCCAGUUCUAAGUGUAUACAACAGGGUAGUGUCCUAAAAUGGCAUCAAGCUUAGUCACAUAUAACUUGAUCCAGCUGUUAAAUAAACAGGCAGGACGCUGUGAGGUAUAGUAAACAGCAGAGUACGUGCCUUCUCCAUGCUGAUGACAUGGUUUUAUUAACACAAACCAGGAUUUUCCUUUAGAAGCUGCAGAACCUGUUGCCUACUUACUGUCAGAACAGUUUACCAUCAACUGUGCUACAACGAAAACCAUUGUAUUUGACAGACAUUCUCCAGUAUUUAAAUGAACAAUACUAAGUAACCCCAUACAACAGGUCAACUCAUUCAGCUAUUGGAAUGUAUAUUUUGCAGCCAACCUACCCGGGUGGGUCCAUGGGGAUACA